GUGAAGAACGUAGCGAAAUGCGAUAAGUAAUGUGAAUUGCAGAAUUCAGUGAAUCAUCGAAUCUUUGAACGCACCUUGCGCUCGUUGGUAUUCCGACGAGCAUGCCUGUUUGAGUGUCAUUAAAUUCUCAACCUCACCACUUUUGUAAUGAAAGUGUGUGUUGGCUUGGAUGUGGGGGUUUGCAGGUCCGCUCUUUUGUGGUCUGCUCCUCUGAAAUGUAUUAGUGGGUUUGGUCCCCUAAUCUAUUGGUGUGAUAAUUAUCUACGCCGUGGAUUGGAAGACUAUUAUGAACCUGCUUCUAACCGUCCCUUACACGGACAAUACUUGACAUUUUUGACCUCAAAUCAGGUAAGACUACCCGCUGAACUUAAGCAUAUCAAUAAGCGGAGGA
rnacentral:misc_RNA from 1 species